rnacentral:misc_RNA from 1 species
AAGUCGUAACAAGGUAUCCGUAGGUGAACCUGCGGAUGGAUCAUUCAUGUGAGGAUGCACAUGCGCACACACACACACGUGGUGCCGCUGUGCAAUCCGCCUGUCCUGUGCAAUGUUAUACAUACAUACGUACAUAUAGUGUAGUGUGCAUGCGCAUAUGGUCAUUGCGACCAGCAUGCAUGCAUGCACGCUUUUUUACACUGCAUGUGCUCGUGCAUAUACUCAUUCAUUCACUACUCUUACUGACAUUACAUACAAAAGAACCUUGAAAACUGCCAGCAAUGGAUCCCUCGGUUCUC